rnacentral:rRNA from 1 species
CUUGGUCAUUUAGAGGAAGUAAAAGUCGUAACAAGGUAACCGUAGGUGAACCUGCGGUUGGAUCAUUACUGAUUUUCUGCCAAAGUAGGUUGAGUCUUUAGGGACUCCCUACUAAAGCGAAUACACCACUUGUGCACUAAAUUUGUCUUUUGGGUCAUUAACAUUUUUGACCCAGAAAUUUAUAAACCAAUUAAUUUUUUGUCUGAAAUAAAUCUAGUAAAUAGAAACAACUUUUGACAACGGAUCUCUUGGCUCUCGCAACGAUGAAGAACGCAGCGAAAUGCGAUACGUAAUGUGAAUUGCUUUCCGUGAAUCAUCGAAUCUUUGAACGCACAUUGCACUCUUUUAGAGUAUGCCUGUUUGAGAAUCUAUAGUAUUAAUUUCUGGCUGCUUUUCUUUAGAAAAGCAGGCAGGAGAUAUGGAGUUUCCCCCGCAAGAGGGUGCUUUGAAAUAGAUUGCCUUUGUUUUUGUUGGACUCGACGAAGUUUUUCAAAACCCGCAGAAAAGUAUUUGAAUGGAACCGUGGUUUCUCUUAAUGCUGAAUAUGCAGGCGAAAGAUGGAGUUUCCUUCAGGCAAAGGUCCAUACCUAUAUAAGUCAGUUUUAGGACUGGCUUGAACCAUGGUCUCAAAUCAGGUAGGAAGACCCGCUGAACUUAAGCAUAUCAAUAAGCGGAGGA